rnacentral:rRNA from 1 species
GACGAACGCUGGCGGCGUGCUUAACACAUGCAAGUCGAACGGAAAGGCCCUGCUUUUGUGGGGUGCUCGAGUGGCGAACGGGUGAGUAACACGUGAGUAACCUGCCCUUGACUUUGGGAUAACUUCAGGAAACUGGGGCUAAUACCGGAUAUGAGCUCCUGCUGCAUGGUGGGGGUUGGAAAGUUUCGGCGGUUGGGGAUGGACUCGCGGCUUAUCAGCUUGUUGGUGGGGUAGUGGCUUACCAAGGCUUUGACGGGUAGCCGGCCUGAGAGGGUGACCGGCCACAUUGGGACUGAGAGACGGACCAGAAGCCUACGGGAGGCAGCAGUGGGGAAUAUUGCACAAUGGGCGGAAGCCUGAUGCAGCAACGCCGCGUGCGGGAUGACGGCCUUCGGGUUGUAAACCGCUUUCGCCUGUGACGAAGCGUGAGUGACGGUAAUGGGUAAAGAAGCACCGGCUAACUACGUG